rnacentral:lncRNA from 1 species
GCUAAAGAAGUAAGAAGGAACUAAGUGUGGGAUGGCUUUUGAGUGGAACCAAUGAAAAGAAGAAAGGUGCCCUUAUUUUGUAAACUAAUACACCACUAGUUGAAAUUUUACAAAAAUAUAUAAAGAAGAAGGGAGCAUUUUUGGGGUGAUUAGUUUGCGAAGGUGAAGUGGAUUGAAGAAAUUGCACUUAAAGUUGAUUAUCGGGUAUGUUAAAGUGCUUAGAAGGAUUAGUCACUAUUCCUAAAUCCUACCCGUCCCUUAGCCCACAUUACAACCAUAAAAAGUCCUAAUUGAUUUUAGACUGAGUGAGCCUACAUUAGUAGAGAUUUACAUUAAGGGCAAGCUUAUAGUACCAAUUGCAUGUAGGUGACUUCUUUUGUGAGGGUGAGCGAUUUUCUAUGAUAUAUGUGAGCACGAGAUUCAAAUGUAUAGAUUGAUUUUAUUCUCUUUACUGUGAUUGUGAGGACAUGUGAUUCGUGAAGGAAAGGCAAGUCUUGACUUCAGAGUAGAGUACUUUGAGGAAGUAUCAAUAUUGCAUGGCACUUGAGAGUCGACUUGUGAGACCAGGAUUGUUCACUGCUAAGCGUAACGUAUGUAAAUUGUUCUAGGUGUAAUGCAUUAGGGGAAAUGGUUGAUUGAAGGAACCUCUAGAAAGUAUAAUGUGAUUGAUCGAGGACUAGCAAUCAAUUAAGUGUGGGAUGUUGAUAAUAGACUAAAUCUAGGUAAUUUAGCAAUUGUUUAUGCUCCCGCUUGAUUAUGUUCCAAUGUCAUAAUGUGGUUAAUUGAUUACAAUUGGUCUCUGUGAAUUGUACAUAUUGCAAGACGAGGAGCCUAUGUGAUGCCUUAAAGAGGUGAUUGUAACUAUUUUAGAGCAAGAACGACCUUUAGGAGCUGAGUACGCACAAAGACGAGGAAAAGAAACAAGGAAACAAGG